rnacentral:rRNA from 1 species
AUCGAACGCUGGCGGCAGGCCUAACACAUGCAAGUCGAACGAGUGGCGGACGGGUGAGUAAUGUCUGGGCAACUGCCUGAUGGAGGGGGCUAACUACUGGAAACGGUAGCUAAUACCGCAUACCGUACGAUGUGCCCCGAUGGGAUUAGCUAGUUGGGGGGGUAACGGCUCACCAAGGCGACGAUCCCUAGCUGGUCUGAGAGGAUGACCAGCCAGACUGGAACUGAGCCACGGUCCAGACUCCUACGGGAGGCAGCAGUGGGGAAUAUUGCAGAAUGGGCGAAAGCCUGUAGAAGCCAUGCCGCGUGUAUGAAGAAGGCCGUCGGGGUGUAAAGUACUUUAGGCGGUGAGGCGUUACCCGCAGAAGAAGCACCGGCUAACUCCGUGCCAGCAGCCGCGGUAAUAC